CCUACGUGAGGCAGCAGUGGGGAAUAUUGCACAAUGGGGGAAACCCUGAUGCAGCGACGCCGCGUGAGUGAAGAAGUAUUUCUGUACGUAAAGCUCUAUCAGCAGGGAAGAAAAUGACGGUACCUGACUAAGACGCCACGGCUAACUACGUGCCAGCCGCCGCGGUACUACGUAGGGGGCAAGCGUUAUCCGGAUUUACUGGGUGUAACGGGAGCGUAGACGGCAGCGCAAGUCUGGAGUGAAAUCCCAUGGCUUAACCAUGGAACUGCUUUGGAAACUGUGCAGCUGGAGUGCAGGAGAGGUAAGCGGAAUUCCUAGUGUAGCGGUGAAAUGCGUAGAUAUUAGGAGGAACCCCAGUGGCGAAGGCGGCUUACUGGACUGUAACUGACGUUGAGGCUCGAAAGCGUGGGGAGCAAACAGGAUUAGAUACCCUUGUAGUC
rnacentral:rRNA from 1 species